UACGAAGGGGGCUAGCGUUGUUCGGAAUUACUGGGCGUAAAGCGAGCGCAGGCGGCCAUUCAAGUCAGGGGUGAAAGCCCAGAGCUCAACUCUGGAACUGCCUUUGAAACUGUAUGGCUUGAGUAUGAGAGAGGUGAGUGGAAUUCCCAGUGUAGAGGUGAAAUUCGUAGAUAUUGGGAAGAACACCAGUGGCGAAGGCGGCUCACUGGCCCGAUACUGACGCUGAGGCACGAAAGCGUGGGGAGCAAACAGG
rnacentral:rRNA from 1 species